CCUUCACUGCUUGCAAUAUCUUUGUGCAAAGCAACCUACUAAAUGUUCCGAUUCCCAUGACCAUAAUAUGAUUUAUACCAUUUAAUGUGGGGCCCUUCCUCGGCCACCCACUUUAUGCAUGAGCACAUUCGACACCCCAACCAAAAGCUGCACGCAAUUGAUUUAAUAUACAAUUUUUAAUAAAAUCUCGUAAAAAAAAAAUGUAUACCAAA